CUACGGGAGGCACCAGUGGGGAAUAUUGGACAAUGGGGGAAACCCUGAUCCAGCAAUGCCGCGUGUGUGAAGAAGGCCUGCGGGUUGUAAAGCACUUUCGGUUGGGAGGGCUGCUUCUAGCACUAAUAUUGUUGGAAGUUGACGUUACCUUCAGAAGAAGCACCGGCUAACUCCGUGCCAGCAGCCGCGGUAAUACGGAGGGUGCAUGCGUUAAUCGGAAUUCUGGGCGUAAAGCGCGCGUAGGCGGCUAGAUCAGUCGGGUGUGAAAGCCCCGGGCUUAACCUGGGAACUGCAUCCGAUACUGUCUAGCUUGAGUACAGGAGAGGAGAGUGGAAUUCCACAUGUAGCGGUGAAAUGCGUAGAUAUGUGGAGGAACACCAAUGGCGAAGGCAGCUCUCUGGCCUGAUACUGACGCUGAGGUGCGAAAGCGUGGGGAGCAAACAGGAUUAGAUACCCGAGUAGUC
rnacentral:rRNA from 1 species